rnacentral:rRNA from 1 species
AUGCAGUUGCGCAGCUAUACAUGCAGUCGACGAGCUUCCGUUGAAUGACGUGCUUGCACUGAUUUCAACAAUGAAGCGAGUGGCGAACUGGUGAGUAACACGUGGGAAAUCUGCCCAGAAGCAGGGGAUAACACUUGGAAACAGGUGCUAAUACCGUAUAACAACAAAAUCCGCAUGGAUUUUGUUUGAAAGGUGGCUUCGGCUAUCACUUCUGGAUGAUCCCGCGGCGUAUUAGUUAGUUGGUGAGGUAAAGGCCCACCAAGACGAUGAUACGUAGCCGACCUGAGAGGGUAAUCGGCCACAUUGGGACUGAGACACGGCCCAAACUCCUACGGGAGGCAGCAGUAGGGAAUCUUCCACAAUGGACGAAAGUCUGAUGGAGCAAUGCCGCGUGAGUGAAGAAGGGUUUCGGCUCGUAAAACUCUGUUGUUAAAGAAGAACACCUUUGAGAGUAACUGUUCAAGGGUUGACGGUAUUUAACCAGAAAGCCACGGCUAACUACGUGCCAGCAGCCGCGGUAAUACGUAGGUGGCAAGCGUUGUCCGGAUUUAUUGGGCGUAAAGCGAGCGCAGGCGGUUUUUUAAGUCUGAUGUGAAAGCCUUCGGCUUAACCGGAGAAGUGCAUCGGAAACUGGGAGACUUGAGUGCAGAAGAGGACAGUGGAACUCCAUGUGUAGCGGUGGAAUGCGUAGAUAUAUGGAAGAACACCAGUGGCGAAGGCGGCUGUCUAGUCUGUAACUGACGCUGAGGCUCGAAAGCAUGGGUAGCGAACAGGAUUAGAUACCCUGGUAGUCCAUGCCGUAAACGAUGAGUGCUAAGUGUUGGAGGGUUUCCGCCCUUCAGUGCUGCAGCUAACGCAUUAAGCACUCCGCCUGGGGAGUACGACCGCAAGGUUGAAACUCAAAGGAAUUGACGGGGGCCCGCACAAGCGGUGGAGCAUGUGGUUUAAUUCGAAGCUACGCGAAGAACCUUACCAGGUCUUGACAUCUUCUGCCAAUCUUAGAGAAUAAGACGUUCCCUUCGGGGACAGAAUGACAGGUGGUGCAUGAUGUCGUCAGCUCGUGUCGUGAGAUGUGGGUAAGUUCCGCACGAGCGCAACCCUUAUUAUCAGUGCCAGCAUUCAGUUGGGCAACUUCUGGGUGAAGACUGCCGGGUGAC